ACGAACGCUGGCGGCGUGGAUAAGACAUGCAAGUCGAACGAGAGAAUUGCUAGCUUGCUAAUAAUUCUCUAGUGGCGCACGGGUGAGUAACACGUGAGUAACCUGCCCCCGAGAGCGGGAUAGCCCUGGGAAACUGGGAUUAAUACCGCAUAGUAUCGAAAGAUUAAAGCAGCAAUGCGCUUGGGGAUGGGCUCGCGGCCUAUUAGUUAGUUGGUGAGGUAACGGCUCACCAAGGCGAUGACGGGUAGCCGGUCUGAGAGGAUGUCCGGCCACACUGGAACUGAGACACGGUCCAGACACCUACGGGUGGCAGCAGUCGAGAAUCAUUCACAAUGGGGGAAACCCUGAUGGUGCGACGCCGCGUGGGGGAAUGAAGGUCUUCGGAUUGUAAACCCCUGUCAUGUGGGAGCAAAUUAAAAAGAUAGUACCACAAGAGGAAGAGACGGCUAACUCUGUGCCAGCAGCCGCGGUAAUACAGAGGUCUCAAGCGUUGUUCGGAAUCACUGGGCGUAAAGCGUGCGUAGGCUGUUUCGUAAGUCGUGUGUGAAAGGCGCGGGCUCAACCCGCGGACGGCACAUGAUACUGCGAGACUAGAGUAAUGGAGGGGGAACCGGAAUUCUCGGUGUAGCAGUGAAAUGCGUAGAUAUCGAGAGGAACACUCGUGGCGAAGGCGGGUUCCUGGACAUUAACUGACGCUGAGGCACGAAGGCCAGGGGAGCGAAAGGGAUUAGAUACCCCUGUAGUCCUGGCAGUAAACGGUGCACGCUUGGUGUGCGGGGAAUCGACCCCCUGCGUGCCGGAGCUAACGCGUUAAGCGUGCCGCCUGGGGAGUACGGUCGCAAGAUUAAAACUCAAAGAAAUUGACGGGGACCCGCACAAGCGGUGGAGUAUGUGGCUUAAUUCGAUGCAACGCGAAGAACCUUACCUGGGCUUGACAUGUAAUGAACAACAUGUGAAAGCAUGCGACUCUUCGGAGGCGUUACACAGGUGCUGCAUGGCCGUCGUCAGCCCGUGUCGUGAGAUGUUUGGUUAAGUCCAGCAACGAGCGCAACCCCUGUUGCCAGUUACCAGCACGUGAAGGUGGGGACUCUGGCGAGACUGCCCAGAUCAACUGGGAGGAAGGUGGGGACGACGUCAGGUCAGUAUGGCCCUUAUGCCCAGGGCUGCACACGUACUACAAUGCCCAGUACAGAGGGGGCCGAAGCCGCGAGGCGGAGGAAAUCCUAAAAACUGGGCCCAGUUCGGACUGUAGGCUGCAACCCGCCUACACGAAGCCGGAAUCGCUAGUAAUGGCGCAUCAGCUACGGCGCCGUGAAUACGUUCCCGGGUCUUGUACACACCGCCCGUCACAUCAUGGAAGCCGGUCGCACCCGAAGUAUCUGAAGCCAACCGCAAGGAGGCAGGGUCCUAAGGUGAGACUGGUAACUGGGAUG
rnacentral:rRNA from 1 species